CCUUCCUAAGAAACAGGGCACAGAGGAAGGUCAUGGAGGAUGCCAGUCUAGAGAGAAGGAAAGGGUUAUCUGCGUUCUCUGAUACAAUCUCUUCCAGUAUUCCCAAGAUGCCAUGCCUGUAGGCCCUCAGGCCUAGCCCCCCACACCGCCCCGGCUCUGUAAAGGCAGAGUCCCUAAUUUGACUAGAAAAUCAACCAUCACCAUAAGAUCAGCAACUCCCAAAAUGGAAGAUGGGUUUUUUUUUUUUUUUUUUGUACAUCUCGAGUUUCACACAAAGUAAUGUUAUAUCUUAAAAAUGAAGCUUUCCUCUUGCACAUUUUAUGACUUGUUAUCGUGGCCUGGAAUGAGUGUGCCAGCAUUCUGUGAAGGAAAGGCGCUACUUAGCUAAAUGAAAUCUUUACACAGCAAGAUCUUGAGGAAGUCCAGGGUCGGAGUACAUCUUGAUUAGUGAAAGGUGAGCCAUUUGUGGGUUUCCCUUAGUCCUCCUUAGAUGCCUCUCUAGUUUGGAACUCUGACAAGUCUACCCUUCUUCUUAAGGCCUGAGGACAGAGGGCCACCCAUGCUCCCUGCCUGCUGCCUGGAACAAGAACCCAGCUUCAAGAGGUUGGACCAAGAAGUAUGAAGAAAACACAGCACAGAACGAGAAUAAUCUCAGUCAGGCGCCGUGAAAGGAGCCCCGCCGCUCCCCUCACUAAGACAUUUUAAUACGCUGCAGCGGAAGUGGACACAGUGUCUUCCUACGAAAGCUCAAGAACUGAGACGUUAAGGCACAUGUUAUCCCUCACACGAUGGCGCAGCUCGGGCCAUUGGAAUGAGGCUGAAAAAUAACCAGAAGUCACACAAACUACCCAACUCCAUCACUCCACAAUCUCAUCCCUCAAGAUCCCGAUAACAAGCACACCUCUACAGCAUCGCAGGCCUGGUGACCAUGGCUCUGGCACACAGAGAAGGAGUGUGGUUUCUGUAACUGCCCACCCUCGAAAUUCAUUGAUGCACUCUUCCUGGUACACACAGAGGGUUU